GACGAACGCUGGCGGCGUGCCUAAUACAUGCAAGUAGAACGCUGAAGGAGGAGCUUGCUUCUCUGGAUGAGUUGCGAACGGGUGAGUAACGCGUAGGUAACCUGCCUGGUAGCGGGGGAUAACUAUUGGAAACGAUAGCUAAUACCGCAUAAGAGUGGAUGUUGCAUGACAUUUGCUUAAAAGGUGCACUUGCAUCACUACCAGAUGGACCUGCGUUGUAUUAGCUAGUUGGUGGGGUAACGGCUCACCAAGGCGACGAUACAUAGCCGACCUGAGAGGGUGAUCGGCCACACUGGGACUGAGACACGGCCCAGACUCCUACGGGAGGCAGCAGUAGGGAAUCUUCGGCAAUGGACGGAAGUCUGACCGAGCAACGCCGCGUGAGUGAAGAAGGUUUUCGGAUCGUAAAGCUCUGUUGUAAGAGAAGAACGAGUGUGAGAGUGGAAAGUUCACACUGUGACGGUAUCUUACCAGAAAGGGACGGCUAACUACGUGCCAGCAGCCGCGGUAAUACGUAGGUCCCGAGCGUUGUCCGGAUUUAUUGGGCGUAAAGCGAGCGCAGGCGGUUAGAUAAGUCUGAAGUUAAAGGCUGUGGCUUAACCAUAGUAGGCUUUGGAAACUGUUUAACUUGAGUGCAAGAGGGGAGAGUGGAAUUCCAUGUGUAGCGGUGAAAUGCGUAGAUAUAUGAAGGAACACCGGUGGCGAAAGCGGCUCUCUGGCUUGUAACUGACGCUGAGGCUCGAAAGCGUGGGGAGCAAACAGG
rnacentral:rRNA from 1 species